rnacentral:snRNA from 2 species
AUACCUUUCUCGGCCUUUUGGAUAAGAUAAGUGUAGUAUCGUCUUAUCAGUUUAAUAUCUGAUAUGCGGGCCAAUGGUCCACACCAUAUUAAAUUAACUUUUCGGGGGAAGACCCAACACAGUAGCUUGCUGAUGGGCUUGCAAGCUUCACCCAUGCUGUGCACUCUAGCACAGACCUGGCGCACCCUAA